UACGUAGGGCGCGAGCGUUGUCCGGAUUUAUUGGGCGUAAAGAGCUCGUAGGCGGUUUGUCGCGUCUGCUGUGAAAACCCGAGGCUCAACCUCGGGCCUGCAGUGGGUACGGGCAGACUAGAGUGCGGUAGGGGAGAUUGGAAUUCCUGGUGUAGCGGUGGAAUGCGCAGAUAUCAGGAGGAACACCGAUGGCGAAGGCAGAUCUCUGGGCCGUAACUGACGCUGAGGAGCGAAAGCGUGGGGAGCGAACAGG
rnacentral:rRNA from 1 species